UACGAAGGGGGCUAGCGUUGUUCGGAAUUAUUGGGCGUAAAGCGCACGUAGGCGGCUUUGUAAGUUAGAGGUGAAAGCCCGGAGCUCAACUCCGGAAUUGCCUUUAAGACUGCAUCGCUAGAAUUGUGGAGAGGUGAGUGGAAUUCCGAGUGUAGAGGUGAAAUUCGUAGAUAUUCGGAAGAACACCAGUGGCGAAGGCGACUCACUGGACACAUAUUGACGCUGAGGUGCGAAAGCGUGGGGAGCAAACAGG
rnacentral:rRNA from 1 species